rnacentral:rRNA from 1 species
AGAACUUAGCAGAGAUGCUUUGGUGCCUUCGGGAACUCUGAGACAGGUGCUGCAUGGCUGUCGUCAGCUCGUGUUGUGAAAUGUUGGGUUAAGUCCCGCAACGAGCGCAACCCUUAUCCUUUGUUGCCAGCGGUCCGGCCGGAAACUCAAAGGAGACUGCCAGUGAUAAACUGGAGGAAGGUGGGGAUGACGUCAAGUCAUCAUGGCCCUUACGAGUAGGGCUACACACGUGCUACAAUGGCGCAUACAAAGAGAAGCGACCUCGCGAGAGCAAGCGGACCUCAUAAAGUGCGUCGUAGUCCGGAUUGGAGUCUGCAACUCGACUCCAUGAAGUCGGAAUCGCUAGUAAUCGUAGAUCAGAAUGCUACGGUGAAUACGUUCCCGGGCCUUGUACACACCGCCCGUCACACCAUGGGAGUGGGUUGCAAAAGAAGUAGGUAGCUUAACCUUCGGGAGGGCGCUUACCACUUUGUGAUUCAUGACUGGGGUGAAGUCGUAACAAGGUAAGCGUAGCGAG